rnacentral:rRNA from 1 species
GAUGAACGCUGGCGGCGUGCCUAAUACAUGCAAAUCGAGCGAACGGACGAGAAGCUUGCUUCUCUGAUGUUAGCGGCGGACGGGUGAGUAACACGUGGAUAACCUACCUAUAAGACUGGGAUAACUUCGGGAAACCGGAGCUAAUACCGGAUAAUAUUUUGAACCGCAUGGUUCAAAAGUGAAAGACGGUCUUGCUGUCACUUAUAGAUGGAUCCGCGCUGCAUUAGCUAGUUGGUAAGGUAACGGCUUACCAAGGCAACGAUGCGUAGCCGACCUGAGAGGGGGACCGGCCCCAUUGGGACUGAGAGCAGGCCCAGACUCAGAGGGGAGGCAGCAGUGGGGAAUAGUGCACAAUGGGCGGAAGCCUGAUGCAGAAACGUCGCGUGCGGGAUGACGGCCUUCGGGUUGUAAACAGCUUUCGACUGUGACGAAGCGUGAGUGACGGUAAUGGGUAAAGAAGCACCGGCUAACUACGUG